AGACCGAUAGCGAACAAGUAGGAGUGAUCGAAAGAUGAAAAGCACUUUGAAAAGAGGGUUAAAUAGCACGUGAAAUUGUUGAAAGGGAAGGAUUUAUGACCAGACUUUUUCUAGGGGGAUCAUCCGGUGUUCUCACCGGUGCACUUCCCCUAGUUGAGGCCAGCAUCGGUUUCUGUCGGGGGAUAAAAGCUUUAGGAAUGUGGCUCCCUCCGGGGAGUGUUAUAGCCUGUUGCAUAAUACCCUGACGGGGACCGAGGUUCGCGCAUUGCAAGGAUGCUGGCGUAAUGGUUAUUAAUCACCCGUCUUGAAACACGGACCAAG
rnacentral:rRNA from 2 species